GCUUUGAGAAGCUAAAAAGCGUUGGUCUUGUAAACCAAAGACAAGAUAAUCUCUCCAAAGCU
rnacentral:tRNA from 1 species